ACAUUCAAAGAGUGCGUAAUAGCUCACUAGUCGAGAGGUCCUGCGCCGAAAAUGUCCGGGGCUAAAACACGACACCGAAGCUUAGGAAUAUACAUUGUAUAUUGGUAGAGGAGCAAUCUUAACGGGAAGAAGCAGUACUGUAAGGUGCUGUGGACUGUUAAGAAGAGAGAAUGCCGGAAUGAGUAGCGAGAUGGAGGUGGGAAUCCUCCAGGCCGAAUAUCCAAGGUUUCCAGGGUAAAGCUGAUCUGCCCUGGGGAAGUCGGGGCCUAAGGCGAGGUCGAAAGACGUAGCUGAUGGACAACAGGUUGAUAUUCCUGUACUAUCAUAUGACAGAACUGUGGGGACGCAGAAAGAGAGCCUGAGCCGGGAAAGGGAAAACCGGUGCAAGCGGGGUAGGAGUCGUGUAGGCAAAUCCGCACGGCAAUCCGAAGACGUGAAGCGGAGCGAACUAAAGUAGCGAAGCAGGUGAGCUGGCUGCCAAGAAAAGCCGCUAUUGUUCAUAUGAUACCCGUACCGUAAACCGACACAGGUGGAUGAGGAGAGAAUCCUAAGGCCGGCGGAAGAAGCAUUGUUAAGGAACUCGGCAAAAUGACCCCGUAACUUCGGGAGAAGGGGUGCCUGCGAGAGCAGGCCGCAGAGAAUAGGCUCAAGCAACUGUUUAGCAAAAACACAGGUCUAUGCGAAACCGAAAGGUGAGGUAUAUGGGCUGACGCCUGCCCGGUGCUGGAAGGUUAAGGGGAGAGGUUAGCGCAAGCGAAGCUUUGAACUUAAGCCCCAGUAAACGGCGGCCGUAACUAUAACGGUCCUAAGGUAGCGAAAUUCCUUGUCAGGUAAGUUCUGACCCGCACGAAUGGCGUAAUGACUUGUGCACUGUCUCAACUGUGAAUCCGGCGAAGUUGUAGUGCGAGUGAAGAUGCUCGCUACCCGCGAUUGGACGGAAAGACCCCGUAGAGCUUUACUGUAGCUUAGCAUUGAAUUUCGGUAUUGUCUGUACAGGAUAGGUGGGAGACUGGGAAAUUAGGGCGUCAGCCUUAAUGGAGUCGUUGUUGGGAUACCACCCUGAUAGUAUUGAAGUUCUAACUGGAUGCCAUGAAACUGGUGACAGGACAUUGUUAGGUGGGCAGUUUGACUGGGGCGGUCGCCUCCUAAAAUGUAACGGAGGCGCCCAAAGGUUCCCUCAGAACGGUCGGAAAUCGUUCGUAGAGUGUAAAGGCAUAAGGGAGCCUGACUGCGAGACCUACAAGUCGAGCAGGGACGAAAGUCGGGCUUAGUGAUCCGGUGGUACCUCGUGGGAGGGCCAUCGCUCAACGGAUAAAAGCUACCUCGGGGAUAACAGGCUGAUCUCCCCCAAGAGUUCACAUCGACGGGGAGGUUUGGCACCUCGAUGUCGGCUCGUCGCAUCCUGGGGCUGAAGUAGGUCCCAAGGGUUGGGCUGUUCGCCCAUUAAAGC
rnacentral:rRNA from 1 species